UUAACCAGGUAAGGCCCCUGGUAGACUACCAGGUUGAUAGGCUGGAUGUGUAAGUACAGCAAUGUAUUCAGCAGACCAGUACUAAUUGGCCGAGGGCUUGAUUAU
rnacentral:rRNA from 1 species